GGCUGAUCCGAUGGUAGUGGGUUAUCAGAAUUUAUUAACAUUAGUCUCACUAAAGUUGGUAUUCAACCCCCCCCACUGCUAAAUUUGACUGGCUUAAA
rnacentral:Y_RNA from 1 species